rnacentral:lncRNA from 13 species
AAUAGCUGUAAUUAUCUACAAUCAGCCGUCUGCCAGUGGCACGCUAAAAGGCUCUUCACCAUCCCGCUGCACACACAAACAACUAGAGAGAGAGAGAGAGAGAGAGAGAGAGAGAGAGAGAGAGAGAGAGAGAUAAAGAAAGAGAGAGAGAGCGAGAGAGAGAGAGAGCUUUUCUAUUAUAAUAUUGAACACUGCACUGUUGGGAAGGGCUUGCAAGGCGUCACUCCUCUGCUUUCCUCUCCUCUGGUGGGAGAAUGGUGGAUGGAUCACCACCCAGAUGAGAUGUCUGAACAGUCGUCCGUCCGCCUGAGGCCUGAGCUGCACCUGUGCUUGGCUAUCACCCUCCACACAGAGGAUGUCUCUACCACCACCCCAGCCCUGCUACAGGACAACUGCUCGUGAUAGAGGUCCUUGGUGUUUUCUGGGGGAAGCCUCAUGUCGAACCAGGUAAGACACACACCGUCUGAGUUCAAGGGUUAGAAUCGUCCAUGUAAUUGGAGUGACAAGCUGCUACCACAGCUGGAACAUCAAUGUAUCUCUGCAAUUCUGUGUAUCUAGAAUGUCUCUGUCUAUAGUUUCUUAAACUUUUUCAGCCUGGGACCCAAAUUCGAAAUUCUGUGUUUUCCUGGGACCCAAACUUAUGAAAACAUGCAACUAUAUUUCAAGUACAUGUCAUUGCCCUUAUGCCAGCCUAAAACAAAUGCAAUAUAGACAAA